rnacentral:ribozyme from 12 species
GAAAUGAAAGAAAGAAAAGCAGAAAAGAAAACGAAAAACGAAACAGGAAAGCUUAACAACUCCAACUCCCAACUUCCUUGUCAUCCUCAUCAUCACCUUUCCUCCUUC